UGAAUAGUAAAGAUUUUGUUUUUAUUGUAAAUAGUUGAAUAGAGAGUUCACAUGUAAAUAGUAUUAAUAUGUUUACAAUGCUAUAAAUUGGUGAAUUAUUCUUCUAUUCAUAUUGCAUUAUACUUUCAAUCUUCCAACAAUCUUAGGUAAAUAAAGUCAUUUUAUUAUUAUGGGAGAGUCUAGCCAAAAUUUUAGUCAUUUGAAUUUUUUCUCAUCGGAUUCAACUAAUAGGUAUGAUCAAAUUCAAAAUGCAGUAAAUUAUUGUACACAAAUUGUAAAUAAUAAUGUUAUGGGUGAGGAACGAAUUGGUGAGUUGCACAAUGAUGAACAUGAAUUAACAGAUAGUGAUGAUAUGUAUGACGACCAUCACCUGUGUUGUAAGUCAUCAUAUCUGUGUGCCAUUGAGCUCUUUGAUAAUAAUCAUUAAAUUUUUUAUCUAUCGCAA